AGUGAACGCUGGCGGUAUGCCUAACACAUGCAAGUCGAACGGCCGCACAGUAAGCGUUCGCUUUUACGGUUGGCGAGUGGCGGACGGGUGAGGAGUACAUCGGAAACUUCUUUUUCGUGGGGGACAACGUAGGGAAACUUACGCUAAUACCGCAUACAUCCUACGGGAGAAAGCAGGGGAUCUUCACACUUUUCGUGUUUCAAUUAGCUGAUGCCGGAUUAGCUAGUUGGCGGGGUAAAGGCCCACCAAGGCGACGAUCCGUAGCUGGUCUGAGAGGAUGAUCAGCCACACUGGAACUGAGACACGGUCCAGACUCCUACGGGAGGCAGCAGUAGGGAAUCUUGGACAAUGGGCGCAAGCCUGAUCCAGCAAUACCGCGUGAGUGAAGAAGGCCUUCGGGUUGUAAAGCCCUUUUGUUGGGAAAGAAAAGCAGCAGGAUAAUACCCCGCUGUUCUGACGGUACCCAAAGAAUAAGCACCGGCUAACUUCGUG
rnacentral:rRNA from 1 species